AGAGUUUGAUCAUGGCUCAGAAUGAACGCAUGUGCGGCAGGCCUAACACAUGCAAGUCGAACGGGUCCUUUGGGACUAGUGGCGGACGGGUGAGUAACGCGUGGGAACGUGCCCCUUGGUACGGAAUAGCCCCGGGAAACUGGGAGUAAUACCAUAUGUGGUCGAGAGACGAAAGAUUUAUCGCCAAGGGAUCGGCCCGCGUUGGAUUAGGUAGUUGGUGGGGUAAUGGCCUACCAAGCCGACGAUCCAUAGCUGGUUUGAGAGGAUGAUCAGCCACACUGGGACUGAGACACGGCCCAGACUCCUACGGGAGGCAGCAGUGGGGAAUCUUAGACAAUGGGGGAAACCCUGAUCUAGCCAUGCCGCGUGAUCGAUGAAUGCCUUAGGGUUGUAAAGAUCUUUCAGGUGGGAAGAUAAUGACUGUACCACCAGAAGAAGCCCCGGCUAACUCCGUGCCAGCAGCCGCGGUAAUACGGAGGGGGCUAGCGUUAUUCGGAAUUACUGGGCGUAAAGCGCACGUAGGCGGGACCAGAAAAGUCAGAGGUGAAAGCCCGGGCUCAACCCCGGAACGGCCUUUGAAACUUCUGGUUUGAGGUCGAGAGAGGUGAGUGGAAUUCCGAGUGUAGAGGUGAAAUUCGUAGAUAUUCGGAGGACACCAGUUGCGAAGCGCUCACUGGCUCGAUACCUGACGCUGAGUGC
rnacentral:rRNA from 1 species